CGCGAACGGGUGAGUAACGCGUAGGUAACCUACCUCUUAGCGGGGGAUAACUAUUGGAAACGAUAGCUAAUACCGCAUAACAAUAGGAUACACAUGUACCCUAUUUAAAAGGAGCAAUUGCUUCACUAAGAGAUGGACCUGCGUUGUAUUAGCUAGUUGGUAGGGUAACGGCCUACCAAGGCAUCGAUACAUAGCCGACCUGAGAGGGUGAUCGGCCACACUGGGACUGAGACACGGCCCAGACUCCUACGGGAGGCAGCAGUAGGGAAUCUUCGGCAAUGGGGGGAACCCUGACCGAGCAACGCCGCGUGAGUGAAGAAGGUUUUCGGAUCGUAAAGCUCUGUUGUAAGAAAAGAACGUGUGAGAGAGUGGAAAGUUCUCACAGUGACGGUAACUUACCAGAAAGGGACGGCUAACUACGUGCCAGCAGCCGCGGUAAUACGUAGGUCCCGAGCGUUGUCCGGAUUUAUUGGGCGUAAAGCGAGCGCAGGUGGUUGUAUAAGUCUGAAGUAAAAGGCAGUGGCUUAACCAUUGUGUGCUUUGGAAACUGUACCACUUGAGUGCAGAAGGGGAGAGUGGAAUUCCAUGUGUAGCGGUGAAAUGCGUAUAUAUAUGGAGGAACACCGGUGGCGAAAGCGGCUCUCUGGUCUGUAACUGACACUGAGGCUCGAAAGCGUGGGGAGCAAACAGGAUUAGAUACCCUGGUAGUCCACGCCGUAAACGAUGAGUGCUAGGUGUUGGGUCCUUUCCGGGACUCAGUGCCGCAGCUAACGCAUUAAGCACUCCGCCUGGGGGAGUACGGCCGCAAGGCUGAAACUCAAAGGAAUUGACGGGGGGCCGCGCACAGCGGUGGAGCAUGUGGUUUAUUAUUCGAAGCAACGCGAAGAACCUUACCAGGUCUUGACAUCCCUCUGACCGUCCCAGAGAUAGGGUUUUCCUUUUCGACAGAGGUGACAGGUGGUGCAUGGUUGUCGUCAGCUCGUGUCGUGAGAUGUUGGGUUAAGUCCCGCAACGAGCGCAACCCCCCUUUUUAGUUGCCAUCACUGAGUUGGGCACUCUAGCGAGAGAGCCGGUAAUAAA
rnacentral:rRNA from 1 species